rnacentral:rRNA from 1 species
UGCCAGCCGCCGCGGUAAAACGGAGGGUGCAAACGUUGCUCGGAAUUACUGGGCGUAAAGCGCAUGCAGGCGGUCUGUUAAGUUUCGUGUGAAAGCCCUGGGCUCAACCCAGGAAGUGCACGAAAAACUGGCAGACUAGAGUACUAGAGAAGUGGGCGGAAUUCCCGGUGUAGAGGUGAAAUUCGUAGAUAUCGGGAGGAACACCAGAAGCGAAAGCGGCUCACUAGAUAGAUACUGACGCUCAGAUGCGAAAGCGUGGGGAGCAAACAGGAUUAGAUA